UAAAUGAAAGCCAAAGAGAGGCGCCUAGCUGUUAAUUAGGAGAUUGUAGUUGAUGAGCUACUCAUUUAG
rnacentral:tRNA from 1 species